rnacentral:snRNA from 1 species
GUGCUCACUCUGGCAACACCCAUACUAAAAUUGGAAUGACGCAGCCAGACUAGCAUACGCCCUGUGCAAGGAUGACAAGCAGAUUCGUGAUGUGUUCCAUAUUUUU